rnacentral:rRNA from 1 species
CUAGUCUCAGUUCGGAUCGGAGUCUGCAACCCGACUCCGUGAAGCUGGAUUCGCUAGUAAUCGCGCAUCAGCCAUGGCGCGGUGAAUACGUUCCCGGGCCUUGUACACACCGCCCGUCAAGCCAUGGGAGCCGGGAGUGCCUGAAGUCCGUGACCGCGAGGAGCGGCCUAGGGUAAGACCGGUGACUGGGGCUAAGUCGUAACAAGGUAUC